rnacentral:rRNA from 1 species
AUUGAACGCUGGCGGCAGGCCUAACACAUGCAAGUCGAGCGGAUGAAGGGAGCUUGCUCCUGGAUUCAGCGGCGGACGGGUGAGUAAUGCCUAGGAAUCUGCCUGGUAGGGGGGGAUAACGUCCGGAAACGGGCGCUAAUACCGCAUACGUCCUGAGGGAGAAAGUGGGGGAUCUUCGGACCUCACGCUAUCAGAUGAGCCUAGGUCGGAUUAGCUAGUUGGUGGGGUAAAGGCCUACUAAGGCGACGAUCCGUAACUGGUCUGAGAGCAUGAUCAGUCACACUGGAACUGAGACACGGUCCAGACUCCUACGGGAGGACGCAGUGGAGAAUCUUGGACGAUGGGCGAAAGCCUGAUCCAGCCAUGCCGCGUGUGUGAAGAAGGUCUUCGGAUUGUAAAGCACUUUAAGUUGGGAGGAAGGGCAGUAAGUUCAUACCUUGCUGUUUUGACGUUACCAACAGAAUAAGCACCGGCUAACUUCGUG